rnacentral:rRNA from 1 species
UGACUCUGCGAAAAGUCCAUUGAACCUUAUCAUUUAGAGGAAGGAGAAGUCGUAACAAGGUUUCCGUAGGUGAACCUGCGGAAGGAUCAUUG